GAUCCCGUCGAGUACGACGGAUGCGUAGGGGUGCUAAUACCUUCCCUUCGCAUAACCGACUCCCGAUCCCAUCUCUCUUUGGUCGCGAGACCAUGUCUUUUUCAGGUUUACUUCGAGCGUUUCCUUUCCCUCUUUGGGAUAAAUAACGCACGGUGGCGGCUCUGUUUGUUUUGUUUUUCCCGCCGGUUGUUUUUCACGGAUGCGACACUCUUAACUUUUAAAUUUGUGCUUAGGAUAGUCUCUU
rnacentral:lncRNA from 1 species